CUUUGCCCCAAAAGCAAAAGGUUAUGACCAUUUUUUACCUCAUUCAAUGCUAUAAGCUGUUUGACAUUCAUUUUGUUAUGAAACACACGUGUACACAACGACGCUAAUGUAGAGUUAUAAAUUGACCAAAAUUUCCCACAUUUAUUUUUAGCCAGACGAUUGACCAAUGAGAAACCAGUAUAAAAUUACAUGCGGACUGGGUGUUGCCAAAGCUUGAGACGAAUGCAAAAAAAAUCCCGUUGACCGACUUCUGAGACCUGCUACUAAUGAUCCCAAC
rnacentral:lncRNA from 1 species